GGGGCUGGAGAGAUGGCUCAGUGGUUAAGAGCAUUGCCUGCUCUUCCAAAGGUCCUGAGUUCAAUUCCCAGCAACCACAUGGUGGCUCACAACCAUCUGUAAUGAGGUCUGGUGCCCUCUUCUGGCCUUCCGCAUACACACAGAUAGACUAUUGUAUACAUAAUAAAUAAUAAAUAAAUAUUAAAAAAAA